rnacentral:rRNA from 1 species
GACGAACGCUGGCGGCGUGCUUAACACAUGCAAGUCGAACGGUGAUGCUCCAGCUUGCUGGAGUGGAUCAGUGGCGAACGGGUGAGUAACACGUGAGUAACCUGCCCUGGACUUUGGAAUAACUCCAGGAAACGGGGCCUAAUACGGGAUAGGAACUCGUCCUGCAUGGCGGGGGUUGGAAAGUUUUUCCGGUUGGGGAUGGGCUCGCGGCUUAUCAGCUUGUUGGUGGGGUAAUGGCUCACCAAGGCGACGACGGGUAGCCGGCCUGAGAGGGCGACCGGCCACACUGGGACUGAGACACGGCCCAGACUCCUACGGGAGGCAGCAGUGGGGAAUAUUGCACAAUGGGCGAAAGCCUGAUGCAGCGACGCCGCGUGAGGGAUGACGGCCUUCGGGUUGUAAACCUCUUUCAGCAGGGAAGAAGCGAAAGUGACGGUACCUGCAGAAGAAGCACCGGCUAACUACGUG